UACGUAGGUGGCAAGCGUUAUCCGGAAUUAUUGGGCGUAAAGCGCGCGUAGGCGGUUUUUUAAGGCUGAUGUGAAAGCCCACGGCUCAACCGUGGAGGGUCAUUGGAAACUGGAAGACUUGAGUGCUGAAGAGGAAAGUGGAAUUCCAGGUGUAGCGGUGAAAUGCGCAGAGAUAUGGAGGAACACCAAUGGCGAAGGCGGCUUUCUGGUCUGCAACUGACGCUGAUGUGCGAAAGCGUGGGUAUCAAACAGG
rnacentral:rRNA from 1 species